rnacentral:lncRNA from 1 species
CCCAAAGUCCACAUUUUCCAGCCCCAAAUAUUCCCUGUUAGUUGCUCCACAUGAACAGACAGAAAAGGGGGAAUUUUGAACCCCCAUUUUUUUCUUAAAAGUCAAUAGGAAAAAACCACAUUUUGGGAGUUAAUGUCCUUGUGGGAUCCAAUGCUGGAACUUUGUGGCUCCAAAGAGUCAGAAUGAUGGGAAUGGCACUUCCAGAGGUGCCAAAACCCCCCAAAAUCCCAAAUAUUCCCAAGAAAACUAUGGUUUCAGCUUGAGCCAGGGGUGCAGGAUGGUGACGAUGGAGAGCAGGGAUGAGCUGAGCCCACAGAACCCCACAUUUUCCAACCCCAAAUCCACAUUUUCCAGCCCCAAAAUCCCACAUUUUCCAGCCCCAAAUAUUCCCAUUAGCUGGAUCCAUAUGAAAGGCUCUUCCCAGACAGAAAGGGGGAAUGUUUAACCCCUAUUUUUUUCCCUAAAAUCCCUGGAAAAGUCAAUAGGAAAAAACCACAUUUUGGGAGUUGAUGUCCUUUGU